rnacentral:rRNA from 1 species
AACGUAGGAGACAAACGUUAUCCGGAGUUACUGGGCGUGAAGGGCGUGUAGGUGGUUAUGUAAGUCUGGCGUGAAAUUUUUCGGCUUAACCGGGAAAGGUCGUCGGAUACUGCAAAACUAGAGGACGGUAGAGGCGUGUGGAAUUCCGGGUGUAGUGGUGAAAUGCGUAGAGAUCCGGAGGAACACCAGUGGCGAAGGCGACACGCUGGGCCGUACCUGACACUGAUGCGCGACAGCAUGGGGAGCAAACAGG